UGUGCUGCUCAGUCAGUAGAGCAUGAGACUCUUAAUCUUAGGGUGGUGGGUUCGAGCCUCACACUGGUCAAAA